rnacentral:rRNA from 1 species
UACGUAGGGUCCGAGCGUUGUCCGGAAUUAUUGGGCGUAAAGGGCUCGUAGGCGGUUUGUCGCGUCGGGAGUGAAAACACGGGGCUUAACCCCGUGCCUGCUUCCGAUACGGGCAGACUAGAGGUAUGCAGGGGAGAACGGAAUUCCUGGUGUAGCGGUGAAAUGCGCAGAUAUCAGGAGGAACGACCGGUGGCGAAGGCGGUUCUCUGGGCAUUACCUGACGCUGAGGAGCGAAAGUGUGGGGAGCGAACAGG